rnacentral:rRNA from 1 species
UACGGAGGGUGCAAGCGUUAUCCGGAUUCACUGGGUUUAAAGGGUGCGUAGGUGGAAUGGUAAGUCAGUGGUGAAAUCUCCAAGCUUAACUUGGAAACUGCCGUUGAUACUAUCAUUCUUGAAUAUCGUGGAGGUAAGCGGAAUAUGUCAUGUAGCGGUGAAAUGCUUAGAUAUGACAUAGAACACCGAUUGCGAAGGCAGCUUGCUAGACGAUCAUUGACACUGAGGCACGAAAGCGUGGGGAUCAAACAGG